rnacentral:sRNA from 1 species
GAUGCUGCACUCCAGUGAAUCCCCACUCCCAGGCACGCGCACACGUACAUAUUUUAAAAUAGCUAAGCAAGACGGUUCCUGCCUUUACUUUCAUCACUAGGAAAGUGGAGGCAGGGGGAUCUCUGAGAGUGAGCUCCUGUCGUCUCAAUGCGCAAACAAUAAUCAAGUUUAAAAGCAAAAUCCUUUGCUGGUUUUAAAGGGUUAUUUAUUAUUAAGCCCGAGAGUUUUCUUUAAAAAAAAAAAUAAUCAAAAUAUAUCGUCUUCGCUUGCUCGCCCUCUUCACCUGUGACCGGGUCUUCAUUCUUUCAGCAGUGACUCCUAAAGGACAGAGUGGAGUGGAAACUUAAGGGUUCCUUGGAAAGUCAGUUGUGCUGGAUGCGUGAAAAGACCUGUGAGGAAGAAUUCUUCACUAACAACACACAUGUGUCGGUCUGCCUUACACUGUGCAGUUAGUCGAGCUCCAUUUGUUGGGACUCCAUAGAGAAAAACACAGAACCCGUGCUGAGGCAAGACACAUGCGUCACGUGGCCCUGAACAAAGGCGGUGAACUUUAUCCGGCAGUAACCUAAUCUCCUGGAUCGUUUACCAACAACACUCAGAGUGAUCUCCGGGAUUACCUUGGGCUUUGGCCAGCACCAGGGAGACUGGGCUGAACAGAAGGAAACUCCGUUCACAAAGAGAUACAACAGGAACCGUGGAGGAGCUGUUGGCUGGCACUCAGCUAGCUUUCUUACAAGGUUUAGGACCAUCUGCCUGGGGGAUGGUGUUAUCUACACAGUAGAUUGGGCCAGUCUACCUCAGUGAACAGUCCCUGCCCCAGACGUGCCCAGAGGCCGUUAUGAGAAGCAGUUCCUUGAUUGAACUCUCUUCCCAGAUAAAUACUAGUUUCUGUCAAUUUGACAGUUAAAGCUGAGUAACUAAGAUGAGCUCAUUUAUGUACGUAUAGACAGUUUCUCAGUAUAGCCCGGGCUAUACCGAGCUCACUGUGUGACUGGAGAUAAUUUUGACCUUCUAAUCCUACUGCCUCCACCUCCCAAGUGCUGGGAUUGCAGGCUCGUGCCGCCAUGGUUGGUUUAUACAGUACUGGGAAUCCAAUCCAGGGCUUCAUGCGUUCUAGCAAGUAAUCCACUAAAGAAACCAUCCUCAGCCUGAGAACGCUUAUAAAUGAGAGAGACUCAGCUUAGGGCAGUUUCUGGCUCUGUGUGGACCACGUUCUCUCCUAGCGUCAGAGCUUUCCUCAGAGUUCUGUGAGAGCAGUGUUAACUGUGGACAGUCCUGGACUCACAUCACCCCAGUUUGUUGCCUCAGAAGACAAAACUCUCCCAGGAUCUUGAGAUGGAUCGAGAUUGAGAGUCCUGAGUUCAGAGCUCUUAAUGGAACGGGCAAAGUUCUAAGGAGAGAAGCUAUGGAGAUGGGGAAAGGAAACUCAGGUGGAGCAGAGAUGGAGGCACAAGCCAAGGCCUCUGUGAGUCACCAGAAGCAGGGGCAGGACCAGCCUUGGUAACGCUGUGAUUUAGGACAGCCGACAAUCCCAACAUGUGUUAAUUCUAAUACAUUUCUGUCUUUUGAA